UACGGAGGGUGCGAGCGUUGUCCGGAAUCACUGGGCGUAAAGGGCGCGUAGGCGGCGCGGUCAGUCAACGGUGAAAACUCGAGGCUCAACCUCGAGACGCCGAUGGAAACCAUCAGACUAGAGUCCGGAAGAGGAGAGUGGAAUUCCUGGUGUAGCGGUGAAAUGCGCAGAUAUCAGGAAGAACACCCGUGGCUAAGGCGGCUCUCUAGUACGGUACUGACGCUGAGACGCGAAAGCGUGGGGAGCGAACAGG
rnacentral:rRNA from 1 species